UGUUCCAUGAUCGUGUCAGUGGUUUCCUGUCCUUGGACAUGUAAGAACUGGAGGCAAAGAGAUGUGGACUUGGAGAAGUCUGGAGUCAGCCUGCUUCCCUCAGGCUCAAGAUCACCCUUUCCCACACAG
rnacentral:snoRNA from 1 species